GAAGAAAGGUAAAAUAGAGCUAAUAGGUUGUAAUGAGGCACUUGGAAGGCUGACAGAUGCAACAGGGAGAAAGUUCUGUACCCAACUGAUCCAAAUGAUUAAAAAAAAUUGAUGGUUGAGAUGGUAAAGUACCAAGGACACAUUCCUGAUAUGAAGCAGACACUCGAAAUCUGUCUUACGGUAGUUCUAUGUAUAUAUUUCUCAGGUACCUCCCUGUUGUUCUCCAUAGCGGUUAAUAGAUGCAAACUAUUGCCUUUGGAAUGGAUUAGCAAUGAGAUCCUGCUGUGUAGCACUGGAACUAUGUCUAGUCACUUAGGAUGGAGCAUGAUAAUGUGAGAAAAUAGAAUAUGUACAUGUAUGUGUAACUGGGUCACCAUGCUGUACAAUAGAAAAAAAAAUGUAUUGGGGAAAUAACAAUUAAAAAAAAUCUGUCUUUUACUCCAAAUUUGCCCUGGUGUCAACUAAAGUUAAGAAUAUGAUAAGCAACUUUAGAGUUUAACACCCUUCACACACAUGAUCUCAAGUAAAUCAUGGCCUGUGUGGUGGUCAAGGGACCACUGAGGUCUGAUUUCCCAUCAGUUUAUGAGAGGGGACAUGAAGCUCAGAAAUUUUACUUGAUUGCCCAGGGUUCCACAACUAAAGAGAUGACAAAGCUCAGUUUUGGACAGAAUGUCUAGUGUGAAGAAAAUAUUGUUUUUAUUACUGAUGGUUGUAUAUGGCUGAACAACAGAAUCAUUAAAGGGAGCAUUAAACAAAAUAAAGAUUUCUGAGCCACUCCAAACUGGCUGAAUUAAAAUUCUCUGAGGUUGGGGAGCAGGAACCUGUACUUAAAAAAUUCGCCUUCAGUAAUUUUGAGACAGUCACUUUGCAGUGGGGGCCAAGUCAUCUGGGGACCGUUGCUUGACUCCACAUAGGCAUCUACAGAGGAAGACCAUGUUAUGUGCCCUAAUUACUCACCCAGUUAGAGCUAAGCUGGGCUAUAAAAACUUUUGAGUUUCCCCUUUAAUAGACUAUAAAAGUGACCCUGUUUUCACUCCUGUCUUCUCUGACAAUUUUUUGGUAGUUACUAUACAGAAUUUACUUUUAACAAUCUAAAAAAAAAUCAUUCUAUUAAGAGGAAUUAGGAAACAUAAUUAAUCUAGCCAAUCACUUUUUAUAGAUCUUGAGAACAUCAUAAAUACAUACCAUAAAUACCAUUUUAUAUUUUAAUUUCUCACUUAAAACAUUGCAUGAAUGGGAAAAUCCUCUUGAAUUCUAUAGCAUAAAAAGGCAAAUAGCAAAGUAGUUUUAUACAAGAUAAUUUAUUAAAUGUACAAGAAACUUUGAGAAUUUCAGUAAUAAAAAAACUUCUGUCUUUACUAAGUAAAAUAACACAUAGUAAAACUUUUGUCUUGAAGUCAGGAGAUCAACUCUGUGAUCCAGGAUGAAAUAUUUACUCUCUCUGAGCUUCUUUUUCCUCAUAUGUUAAGUACAAAACAUUGUGUCUGCCUCAUAUUAUCCAAGGGAGGGUUAGGAGAGGUUAUAUGAAUGUAGGUGUCUGCAACUAAGUCAGGUACAUAAAAGGCAUUCAACAAAAUUUAGUUGUGUCUGAGGUUCUUUUUAAAAAGGUCUUGAGUGAAAUAGUUCUUUCUUUCUUUUUCUUCAUUUUCUUAUCAUAAAUAGAGGCUUGUUCAGACAAAAUGAUUCUAGAAUCUCUUACAAAGCUGAAGUUCUAUAUUUUUAUUUAUUCUAGAAAGUUUUCUGUGUGACUCUAGUCAGCCAGAAAUACUUCUGAGAUGUUGUAUUGGUUCCUGAGAAGUGAAUGAAAAUCCCUAGAUAAUCAAUAACAUUUAAAAAUAAGUAUUAGCUAUAGUACAUAGGAUUUGCUUGUGUUUAGUGAAUUCUAAUGUUAAUAUAAAUUAACUGAAAUAUGGUGAAUGAAUGCCAUUCUUUCUUUGAUAUAAAAGAACCUUCAAGACUUGUAUGAGUUUUUUUUAAUUCUUUUAAGACAAAAAUUAUUGUGUGCUGACAUAUCAGGUAAUGAAUGGAAAUUUUCAGAGAAAAAUAUGGAAACUAGAAUUCUCUAUUCAAUGUUAGAUGGAUUCUGGCUUCAUAUCAUAAAAGUUUAAUUUUUCCCCAGUCAUAGUAUCUGGUAUAUAGUUGGUGGCCAAUAAAACUCAUCAAAGGAAUUAACAAGUGCAUUUUUCUGUUGAGUUCCAUUCAUUGGUGUGAUACAGUGGAAAAGGUGUUCAAUUGAAGUUCUGUUAUUCCAGUUCUUUUCCUCCAUUUCAUUUCAUUUUUUCUCCUUUUCCUCCUAUUUCUCUCACACUUCUUUCUCCUCCUCUCCACCCCAACCCCCACCCCCGGUCCUCAGCUAUUCCAACAACUGGUCUCUUAAGAACCACCAACAGUGGCCUCAGGAAGCAGCAGAAUGUCAUCAGGCAGAAGAGGACACAGAAGGCAGCAAGGCCCCAGAAUCAUAUUUUUAUCACUGACAAUGCAACAUGACAUAUCCUGAGCCAGCAUCUGAUAGAGGCAUUCAGUAAAAGGAAAUUCUUCAUAAAGAGUUAUGUGCAAAAAAUAUUCCUACAGUGAAUUAAAUUAUCAGGCAACUUAGUUUGUAAACAUUCCCAUCCCAUCAUUUUUGCAAGAAUGUAAGCCACACCUAAAAGCACAUGCCUUAUUUUGUAGGGAAAUACAUGGCGAUGCAUACUUUGUCCCCCUGUGCCAAGACUUAUCCUUAACUUUAAUUUCAGCCUUCUCAUUGUCUCCCUGUGCUGCGGUAUGAUUCCACAGUACAUCCUCCCAUCUGCUGAAACAGAGAAGUGCUUGCAUUUUAGACUGAGAUGACUAAUAUUCAUGAGGAAUGAAUCCAAACUCAAACUAAAUGCACAUUUUUGCAUUUGUCCAAACUUAGCCAUGAAUUAUCUCAGGCUAUCAAUAGAAGAAGAGGAAAGUUACUAUCUGUAAAUCCCUAUUUGUUUUCCCAAAUUGCACCCUUGGCAAUGGGUGUGACAGAAAAAUGUUCAGUAUUCCUAGUAGCCUAACCUGCCAAGAGAGAUAAAGCCACUUUGAUGUCCUGGGACCAGAGACUACACAGAUUUUUACCCGAAAUGGACCUCAAGCCCUUUUCAAUCAGAAGUGGGCUAAAACAACCCGCCUACUCCCCAGCCUUCUGAAUUCAGGAUACAGACUGUUGACCCUGCUGACUCCAAAAGGUGGCAGAUCUAAAGUUAAUAAAGUUACUCUGGCCAAUAAUGGUGAGAGUGAUAAUGAUAAGAGGAACAAUCCUAGUAAAAGUUAAAUGAAGUCAUAGUCGAUCGACACUUUCCAUGCUUACAUUUCCUGUGUGAGUCCUACUUGCCAGCACUGUGCCUAGUGAGUUGCAUACAUUAUUCCAUAUGCUUCUUAAUGGAAUCCCUGGAAUGAGGAAGGUGAAGCUCCAGGUGGUUAAGUUGCAAAGGUCACACUGUGAGUAGCAGGACUGAGACCUAUACCCACCUCUACUUCCUCUGAGACCCCCCACCCCCACCUUUUCUUUGUGUGGCAUAGGUUGCUGCCUUUCUCAGGUGAGGGCCAACCUCAGCAUCCUUCUGGAACAGCUUCUCUACUGUCCAGGGCAGCACCCCCUACACACACCUCACACAGAAUAAUGAUCCUUUCUGGAGACCAUGUGGAAAGAAUGUCCCAGAAGAGCUCUGAUUGUGUUCUAAAAUAAAUCACAUUUACAACUUUCUUUGGCAUUGGCCAAGUAUUCUCAGGCACCUCUCUGGAGUUUCUGUUGCUGCCGACUUGGCCUGGGGGCAGCCGGUUCCCAGUAACAAGGUCAGAGCAGCCAACCAUGGGCAGCACUUCUCCGCAUGGAUUCUCAGUGAUUUUCUUUCAUGGGCAAGAAAGUGUCCACUCAGCCGUACUUUGCGAACACCUACCUUGCACCAGCUCUAGGCUAGACACUAUACCCGUAAUACUUCCAUUAGUCCUCACGAAAUAUUAAAAAUAUUUUUUGGUGUUUGUGUAUCUUGGUUUGUCUUGACUGGUGAGGACAAUUAGAUGGAAAGUAUGAUGUAACUGCCCAGGGUGCUAAGUGCUGUUAAAACAGUGGUCCCAAUCAGAAGCGAUUUUCACUCCCUUUCUCUCACGAGGAUUUGGUAAUGUUUGGAGACACUUUUGGUUGUCACGUCUGAGGGGUGAAGAGGGUUUAGGGUUUAGGUAUGUAGUGGGUGGAGACCAAGCAUGCUGUUAAAGAUCCCACAGUGCACAGGGCAGCCCCCCCAAAGAAAGAACUGUCUGGUCCCAAAUAACCACAGUGCUAAGGGUAAGACGCCCGGGAUUAAACUGAGAGGUUUCUGACUGGAUUCUGCUAUGUGGCUGCUUUGGCUGAUGACUUAGAUGUUUCUAGAUAGACAGCUUUGAACCAGAGCCUCUGGCUACUUCUACUCUGCUGUCACGUGCAACAGCCCGGGAGCUGGGUGCUUCCUGCUUAGCCAUCUGGCUCUCCAGAAUGUCCAUGGCUUAAUGCCUUGAUGCUGCUGCAACUAAUAAACCCCUCUAGACAUGCCAGACUCCCACAUUUUGUAGCAUGGUAAGUUGGGAAACAUCCAUGGCCCAGGAAUUUCGGGGUUUUGAAUGAUCUUACAAUUUAGGGGGCCCUUUGCUGAGAGAAACUUUGCUUUGAGGAAUGGCCAUAAAGCUGGCUUCUUUACCCUGGCUCUUGGCUAACAGGAGAGAGGAAAAGGGACUACCCAGUUCUUUUCCAAAAUAUAGGCCAAUUUCAGUGAGGCAGAAAAGGACUCAGGAUUCAGGACAGCUGCUCUGUCUGAGGAAAAAAGGCAGAAAGUUUUACUUCAUUUAUGCACCAUCAGGUGACCUGACAAUUUUAAACAGAGAGGUGAUAUUCACAUUAUCCCGCAUAAAUAGAUGUUUGUGAGGCAAAACUACAGCUGAUAAUGAAAAUGCCUGGGCUCAAGACCUCUGGUGAGACUUAAUUCAUUCACUUAUUCACUGAGAACAUAUGCCAUCUAUUAUAUGCAUGUCAGACACUGAAGCUCAGGCUAUAGAGAUUCCAGUCUUGUGGGAGGGAAAUCAUAGAGAAAGAGACAUUAAAAUCAGAACUGGAGGAGUUCCUCUUGUGGCUCAGUGGGUUAAGAACCUGACAAGUAUCCAUGAGGAUGUGGGUUAAAGGAUCAGGUGUUACCUCAAGCUGUGGUGCAGGUUGCAGAUGCCGCUUGAAUCUGGCGUUGUUGUAGCUGUGGUGUAGGCUGGCAGCUACAGCUCUGAUUCAACCUCUAGCCCAGGAACUUCCAUAUGCCACAGGUGCAGC
rnacentral:lncRNA from 1 species